GCGUCGUCGCGGUUGAUAAAAAAGCUUCGUUGAGUAGAGUAGCCCGGGCGUGAGCGGACGUCAGUAUUGUAAGUAAUUCCGUGCGAUAUCGCGGGAUUUGUUAAGCACAAAGUUUAAUUAGGGAUGAGUGAACUUGUAGGUCGAUCGAACUAGCAGUAGGGAGAAAAAAAUAAAAAAAGGUGAAAAAAAUCGAGGGCAAGUCGGGAGAUAACUUAAGGAUAUUACUCGUGUGCUAUUUAGUGUCUUUAUCUUUGUCUUUGCAAUGGGUAAAAGCUGCUUGCCCUUACAGGGAUUGCUUAGUGUGCUUGCGCAUCUUCUAAAAAAUUGAGUACAGUGGAAGGUGUGAGGGUGCAGAGAGAAACUGUGAGAUAAUAUAGACGAUGCCAAGACCACGCCUCUUGUCUAAGGUUACCCCACUCUGUUGGCGAAUUCUCCCACCGCUGGUAUUCAAGAGGGGAUCUAAGAUUUUUCCACUACCCUUUCUUGAAUAUACAUAUCAACCAGUCUCUUUUAUUGAUCCAUCCACUGUACAACAGCUAUCUUCCAUUUUCUUAUCAAUUUCUUACAUGCUACUUUUGUUGAUAUGAUGCUAACUUGUGGAUACUACGAGAUUUCAUGGUGGGCAACUCCGGGUGCAUCCUAGGGCCGAUAGUAAGAGAAGGAUUAUAAAGCGAAGAGAGAAAGAGAAAGUACUCAUAGGUCGGGUGCUUUAGCUUGAGGCUGUUAAACACGGUGGGUCUUAUCGGUAAAACUGUUCUAUACGGAAUAGCAGCCGUCCAGCCAUUGGCCACUAGAAUAUCUACCUUAUAUGUUUCUCUCAUCAUGCAAAACACACACACACACACACACACACACACACACACACACACACAUUUACCUAUGAACAUGUAUAUGUAUAUGUUCUUUAUACGUUUGUAUGCAUAUGAGUAAAACCGUUUGAACGUGUAUCUCUUGAGAGCUUAGCAAUGUACUAAAGUGCAACUACGUCAUGGAUGAGUGUCUUGUUGUAUACCUUUAUACAGGUUGUAUUUGCACCAAAGUCAAACUAAACUUUCUCGAUUACUAUCGUAAAAAUCAAAUAUAUAAGAUAUUUAUCUAUGACUUUAUCUACUUGUUUAUUUGUUUAUUAAUAGAGCGAAUUUUUGCAAUUUGCAUAAAUAUAUAAGACAGAUAUUUAUUAAUAACGAUAAUAUUUAUAUGAUAUUGAUUAAUAAAAAGAUGUAAAAUACCUGUACAUUAAGAUUUUCGUUAUUCAACAAGCUUGUUUUUUUUUCUUGCAGCGCCCUCUAAAUUUUUAGCUUUUCGACGAUAUAUUUCCAAUUUAAAUAACAUAGUGUUUUGUGACUUUUGACAUUUAAUUUUUUCCCUCCUAAGCAACCAAAUCUAUACAAGUAAAAGAUACAUAUUCUCGUAGGAAAUUAAAUUCUUUACAAAACAGAUUUCCUAUAAUUUUUCGAUAAAUUCAAUUCUUUGAAAGAUACUAAAGGUUAAAAUGAUAAAAAGUUGAACUUACAAUUUUUUUUUAGGUCAUAAGCUGAAAAUUUAGAGGACGCUGUAAGAAAAAAACAAACUUGGUAAAUAACGGACACUUUAAAUAGACAUGAAUUUUAGAAGGUAA